rnacentral:rRNA from 1 species
GGGCCUGCACAAGCGGUGGAGCAUGCGGUUUAAUUCGAUGAUACGCGAAAAACCUUACCAACCCUUGACAUGUUGGUCGCGGGGAGCAGAGAUGCACCCCUUCAGUUCGGCUGGACCAAACACAGGUGUUGCACGGCUGUCGUCAGCUCGUGUCGUGAGGUGUCAGGUUAAGUCCUAUAACGAGCGCAACCCCUGUUGUUAGUUGCCAUCGAGUCAUGUCGGGAACUCUAACAAGACUGCCGGUGCAAACCGUGAGGAAGGUGGGGAUGACGUCAAAUCAUCACGGCCCUUACGUCCUGGGCUACACACGUGCUACAAUGGCCGGUACAGAGAGCAGCCACUACGCGAGUAGGCGCGAAUCUUCAAAGCCGGUCUCAGUUCGGAUCGGAGUCUGCAACUCGACUCCGUG